rnacentral:siRNA from 1 species
UUAUGCCAAAACUUGUGGUCU